AAUCGGCGUACAGCAAAGGGGACGUGUCCCCAACGUGGUGCCGAGAGGAAUGAGCCUCAGCAACAGCGGCUAUAUGCCGGAACGCUGAAAAAACAAGUGAUGGGUAGAGUUUGGUAGGUUUUUUCUCGAAGAACUCGGACCCA
ncrna:unclassified sequences RT-3 RNA